rnacentral:rRNA from 1 species
AUUGAACGCUGGCGGCAUGCUUUACACAUGCAAGUCGAACGGUAACAGGGUGCUUGCACCGCUGACGAGUGGCGAACGGGUGAGUAAUGCGUCGGAACGUGCCGAGUAGUGGGGAUAACGCAGCGAAAGUUGUGCUAAUACCGCAUACGUACUGAGGUAGAAAGUGGGGGACCUUCGGGCCUCACGCUAUUCGAGAGGCUGACGUCUGAUUAGCUAGUAGGUGAGGUAAAGGCUCACCUAGGCGACGAUCAGUAGCGGGUCUGAGAGGAUGAUCCGGCACACUGGGACUGAGACACGGCCCAGACUCCUACGGGAGGCAGCAGUGGGGAAUUUUGGACAAUGGGCGAAAGCCUGAUCCAGCCAUUCCGCGUGCAGGAUGAAGGCCCUCGGGUUGUAAACUGCUUUUGUACAGAACGAAAAGGUUUCUACUAAUACUAGGAGCUCAUGACGGUACUGUAAGAAUAAGCACCGGCUAACUACGUGCCAGCAGCCGCGGUAA